AUUGUUGGGAUAGCUCAGUUGGUAGAGCAGAGGACU
rnacentral:tRNA from 1 species